rnacentral:tRNA from 1 species
GCAUUAGCAGUUCAGUGGUAGAAUCCUCGCCUUCCAUGUGGGAAAAGUGGGUUCGAUUCCCAGCUAAUGCA